GCCGGGCAUGGUAGCGCACACCUGUAAUCCCAGCAGCUCAGGAGGCUGAGGCAGGAGGAUCACAAGUUCAAAGUCAGCCCAGCAAAAAUGAGGAGCUAAGCAACUCAGUGAGACCCUAUCUCUA
rnacentral:sRNA from 1 species